rnacentral:piRNA from 1 species
UCAGGAAAUAAAAUUAUAUUC